rnacentral:tRNA from 1 species
UAGCUUAAGGGUAAAGCAUUUGGCUGUUAACCAAAAAAUUAUAAGUUCAAAUCUUAUC